CUCUUCCACUCUUCAAAAAAAAAAAAAAACACAAAAUACUCUCUCAACUCUCCCUCUUCUCAGUCCCUCCUCCGGCUAGGUCCGGCCGCCUCCGGUCAUCGGGCAGUCGCGCCGUGGCAAGUGGCGAUGGGACGUGAGGCGGUGGCGUGACAGACAUGCGGCGGCCAGCAGGGCAAGUGGGGUGCGGCGCCGAAAGGCUAGGGGUAGGAGCGGCAGCUAGCUUGAGGCUAGGGGUUUUUUUGCUGAAAAAUUUUUAAGUUAGUGGGCUUUGGGCUACUAGGGUUAGGUUUGGGUAUUGGGUUGGGGUGUUUUUCUUUUGUUUGUUGGGCCCGGGCAAAUGGGCUUGUACAGUACCGAUUUAGAUACUAAGUAGAAGUUGCCAACUUUAGGUAUCACGAUAUAUAUUAACCCUUUUAAAAAAUGCUAUUUACUA